ACGGGGGCCCGCACAAGCAGUGGAGCAUGUGGUUUAAUUCGAAGCAACGCGAAGAACCUUACCAGGUCUUGACAUCCCGAUGCUAUUUCUAGAGAUAGAAAGUUACUUCGGUACAUCGGUGACAGGUGGUGCAUGGUUGUCGUCAGCUCGUGUCGUGAGAUGUUGGGUUAAGUCCCGCAACGAGCGCAACCCCUAUUGUUAGUUGCCAUCAUUCAGUUGGGCACUCUAGCGAGACUGCCGGUAAUAAACCGGAGGAAGGUGGGGAUGACGUCAAAUCAUCAUGCCCCUUAUGACCUGGGCUACACACGUGCUACAAUGGUUGGUACAACGAGUUGCGAGUCGGUGACGGCGAGCUAAUCUCUUAAAGCCAAUCUCAGUUCGGAUUGUAGGCUGCAACUCGCCUACAUGAAGUCGGAAUCGCUAGUAAUCGCGGAUCAGCACGCCGCGGUGAAUACGUUCCCGGGCCUU
rnacentral:rRNA from 1 species